UACGGAAGGGGCAAGCGUUGUUCGGAAUCAUUGGGCGUAAAGGGCGCGUAGGUGGUUUUGUAUGUCCGCUGUGAAAGCGUACAGCUCAACUGUAUCAUGUCGGUGGAAACUGCAAGACUUGAGGCUGGGAGGGGCUGGUGGAAUUCCCUGUGUAGCGGUGAAAUGCGUAGAGAUGGGGGAGAACACUCGUGGCGAAGGCGGCCAGCUGGACCAGUUCUGACACUGAGGCGCGAUAGCGUGGGGAGCAAACAGG
rnacentral:rRNA from 1 species